CUUUGGGCUGUCUUUCAAAUAAUAGGGAAAGGGGGAAUAACAAUAGGACCCGUAUUGCACCCUUGUACUUGCAUGUUCUGUCUCCGUUGGAGUUCGCUUAACUGUGCAAUAAUUAGCCAUUCUUUUUUUUUAUUAUUAUUUUUAAAAAAAGCUUUGGACAACAUAUAAACCUAUACGGCUUUGCUAUGCUCUUUAGUAAUGACUGUGUUAGUAUUGGAUUUUGGUACUUCAUGUCAUUUAGAGAGUAAUAGGAAAAGAAUUGGAAAUAUAGUCAGCCAUAAGUGCUCUUAUAGGAGAACCCAUUUAUAUUUGCCAACCACUUCAGCAGCCCUAGGCAACAAAACUGAUCUGCUGCUUUCAACUUAACAACAAAAAGCUAUCCAAGCAACUUAUUCAUGCCAUCAGUGUGCUGCACUUGUAAGCAACUCUUACUGUCGUUGCCCUCACCACUUAUUUCUAUGCAACAGUCUCAGGCUUCACAGAGCUGUUGAGAGUUACUCAUCUUGUAAGUAGGCAGAUACAAAUGGGGCAGUGCAGAUAGGUAUAAAUGCUUAUUAUACAUGAACAACUUGCUUGUUUUAGGGGGUAUGGUAGGGUAAAUUGACCAAAAAACUGAUUUUUUGUUUUCAUUAGUAAAAAGUAAUACACACUGGGCGGUACAAAACUGUGCAGUAGCGAGCGCACAUGAGCACUUGAAGCCAUUUAGAAAUGGUGCCAAAAGCCGCGCCUCCUCAUAUUUAAAAAUGGUGAAAUAAAAAACAUGUUUGUUUACGUGUUUUUCAUCAAAAAACCGUUUUUAAAAACUUUAUUACUAAAUAAUAAUACACACUGUGUGGAGCAAAACCGUGCAGUGGCGAGCGAGCAGGAGCACUCAAAGCCAUUUAAAAAUGGCGCCUCCUGGUAUUUAAAAGUAAGCAUAAAAUAGCAUUUUUCUCAAACUGACUUUUUUUUGAAAAUUUUCGAACCUUCAUGUACCUUUUCUGGAAAACUAUAUCACCAGUUACGCUGAAAUCUUCUCAGAUUAUACUGAAAUCUCUUGCAAACAGUAUGAACCUAAAUCUUUCAAAAACUGAGUCAUUAUGCUGAAAAAAAAAAAUGGGAUAAUAUCUCUUGGGUACAUGACUAGUGAGGGCAAUAUAUUUUAUCUUGUGAGGUGAAUGUAGGAACCCUUUUUUUUUUUUUUUUGUAGGUUCAGAAUAAAGGCAAUAUCAUGUGGAAUUAGUGUGCAAAAUUUCACGGUCAUACUGUUUUUUGUUUCUGAGAAAUGUACAUUAAAUUUUACAACCCCCUCCCCCAAAAAUGUGGUUCUCAAAUAAAAAAAAAAAAGAAGGCUGCAGUGAAAAAACUACGCCAAGUGAAGGCUGAAACCAUUCUUAUUCAACACGCAAAAUUUCACUUAAAAUAUGGAGCAGUUAUUGAGAUAAAAAGCUGAAACCAAGAUUACCCAUUUUACCGUACCAUAGCCCCUCAAAUGUAAGUGCAGAUUUCAUUUUCAGUUGGCAUUUGUUGGUAGGCUUUGUAACUCACCAUGGCUGGUGGAAAUACUUUCCUGCUUUGUCCGAAACCAAUAAAAUUAGCUGCUUUCAGUGACAUCCCUUACUAGGGUGGUAUUGCAUAGUGUAGUGAGUUGGCAUGGUAUUUUUGUUUCUUAUCUCACAUUUUUGAGGUUGAAGUGGUCUUCUUUGUGGAGAUAAUGCCAACAGUGUUAGCAAAAGUGUGCAUUUUUUUUUUAAGUGUGCAUUUUUAGCUAUCCACCUGCAGACUACGCUGUAUGCUUAUCUUUAUUUACAUAAUCUGCCAUGUACUGCCAAAAAACAUGGUAUGGGACAAAAAGCCACUGCCAAUAUCCUUUUCCGAGUGUCGUCUGAAUAGAAAUGAGCUAGGGAUUUAAUCAGGAAAAGCAUUUAUACAUAGCAAUGUAACACUGAAUGUCUCAUUCAUACUUAUAGGGCAACUGGUACUUGACCAAAGUUGCCAUGGCAUGAGUAGCAUCCUUCAUGCGGCUCUAAUUUCCAGGCAUGUAAUCUAUAAUUGAAUCAAUGGCAGUUUUCUAGGGCCAGUAGUUUUUUUCAAAUUAAUGUUUAUUUUUCACGUGUGCCCUUGCUCUUCAUACUGUGCACUAUUCUUUGAAGCCAAUUUCCCAUUCAUCAUGGUUUGAAAGCGAAAAGGUAGCGCAAUGUUUAUUUACAGAUUACAUCGGCAAGAACUGUUAGUGCUUCAGAGCACUUUGGAACUAAAGCAACAAGCUCUAAUUGACUUGGAAAGGGUUUACCAACAUUACAGUGACAUGCACACACACACGCACACAUACACACGUCUCUCGAAGAAUUAUAACAAUACCUAGUGUGCUUGGCUGAAUCUGGAUAGUGUUUCUCAACUGAAAAUCUUGCAUACACCGAAAUUCUGCAUAAAAAUUGUUGUGUAAGUUGCAUUACCCUGCGGAACGGCAUGGUCAUAAGCGAACAAUGCACAGCCUGCAGUGAAGCUGACAGUUUUACAUUAAACCUAUAAUGUCAUGUAUAUUUUUCCAUGUGUGUUAUACAUAGUGGAAGUUUGGAAGCCGUUGUUAUGGACAGUUUUGUUUUGUGGACACAGUGAUUUAGAGGAUGCGUUGCACAUAUGAAAACAUCUCAUCAUGCAGACGUUUUAUGAUCUUGGCCAACCCCCUUGCCCACUACCGUUGUGACAUAACCAAUAGUGCUAAAAAUAGGCCAACAGCUGUACCUGAUGUUCACAUCAUUUCAAUGGCAAAAUUAGUAUGUCCAUAAGCCUGAAAGGCACACUACCAAUCUAGGUGGACCUAAUUUUUCUUUUUAGCACCUUUAAGUACAGGUAGUUCUCGCAUUAUCAUCGGGGUUAUAAAACUGAAAAGGCAAUUUCUCAUUUUUACAGUGCAGUGCUCACAUUUUUUUUUUUUUUUUUCAACUUGGAAGUUCAUAACCUACAUUUCACAACAAGUAGUUAAGAACACAACUGUACUAGGCUUUACCAGGUAUUUUUUGUAAUGUGGAAUGCUUUCUUUAAAGCCUGUUAUAUCUUGGUCCCCUCAUAUGCUCACAGCUAGGAUAUGGAGCUAAGCAGACAUUAGCAUUAUGAAAAUUUUCAAAAUAUUUUGACUAAAUAGCAUAAAUGUGCUCAUCUUUUUAAUUGCUGUCAUGAAGCCACAUGUUGCAGUGGCAAAAUAUAAGAUGAACAGUAGUGAAGUCACGUCUACAUAGCGGAAAUCGUAAGACAUGCACCACCUUAGAGAUAUCCAUCUUUAAAGUGUGCUGUGAAAAAUAUAUUGGCAAUCCACUUAAAAAUUUGCCAAAAGCAUUUCCCUAGUAGUUUGCUACCAUCUUAACUGAAACGCCAAUAUUUCAGCACAUUUUAGGGGCAGAUAUCUCGGAAGUGGUAUACUAGCUUUAGGAUUUCUGCUUAGCACACAUAACUUCACUACUGCUCUGUUUGAAUUUUGCAGUUUCGACAUGUAUCCUAAAGCAAAUAAUAAAAAAAAUUAAUUGGCACAUAAUAAGUAAUUGGCCAAGUUGCUGAAAUUUUUUUUGCUGCUGACACCUGCCUAGCCACGUAGUCUAGCUGUGAAAAUGACAGGGGCCUAGAUAUAAAGCUUUUUUAAGUGUUCCACAUAAGGAAAAGAACAGCUAGUAUAUAUUUUCCUAUGCUGUUUAUCCUGUACGUUGAUUCCACAAUGGUAGCCUGCUAUGGUACGUAGUGAAUGAAAGCGAUGUCAGUCACAGCAAAUUGACAAUCAUUAGUUUGGAUAUGACGUUCUAGAUCAGAGAAAAAGCUCUUGGCCCCUAAAAGUUUCAUUCAUAGCAGUGAAAAAGACGCAUUCAUCAGGUAGCACUGUUAACAGUUAGGUAUGCUGCACAACAAUACAUAGGUGUAAGUACUGCACAGCUAACGAAGAGAUUGUUCACACAAAAACUGAAACAACAUUUAUGCACCUGAAGUGUGUUAACAAAGUUCUGCGCCCUGAUAACCCUGACAGGUUCUGAUUAUUUUUCCAAUGGAUGCCUUUAUCAAGACUAGAAAGUGAAAAGGAAAGCGUCAGUUUGUGUUGCGUGUGAACCUUGACCAAAAGGAUGAUGGGGGGGCAAUGAUAGAUGGCUGUGUGCACAGGUUCUCCCUGUCAUGGGCAGAUGUACUCCAUUUCAACAACUCCAUGCAAUGUUGUGAAAGCUAUGGGUUGUGUCAUCUUAUCAGAAGUAUAAAUGAAAAGAUGGACUCGUCAAUUGUCUGCUGCUAAUCCUCUUGUGCACUGUACUAUUUGAAAGGAAAGAUGGUUGAUGGAUUAAUGGUACACUGUGGGCAAGCCCUUCUUCUUUCUCUAAGACAUGUCACUGGUUUUCAUUCCCGAUUUCUAGGUUCAACAAAUAGUGCCUUUCACUGAACUGCAUGGAGUUGGUGAUAUGUCUAGUACCCAUCACCGUCCAGCUUCUUCCAAAGGUCUUAUGAACAAAACAUUGACUCCUAGACAUGAUUGUCAGUUCCUAGAAAAUUCCUGGACAGACAGCGGCACCUUUUACUUUGGAAAGCUGAAACGUCAUUCCACAUGAAAGAAAAUUAGAACUUGUUCACCUGUGUUUCUGGACAAAAAGAAAAAGGUGUGAAAUGUUAUUUGAGUAAAAACCUAUAAUUAGUGAUUGGUUUGCUGAAGUAUCUAUAACAGGUUGGGGGGAGGAGGAUCUUGCUCUAUUGUAUCAUAAACUCUACUGGGGGCUUUGCAUCUAGUUUAUUAUGCUUAAAUCUGAAUUUUGAGGUAUCAAACUCAGUGAAUAAAAAAUGAUAUGUAGAGCUUUGUGAAAUUGAAAAGGUUGAACCUCAUGAGGGCUUUGUCACCUGCAUGUGGCUUUAUCCUCAUGUGAUGAGUUGGAAGGGAGGUGCAGAUAGGCACAGAAGUAUCUACAAAGGUGAGAGGGGAAACCUAGAUAAUGAACAAAGGAAGUGGUCAUGGAACAUAGUCCUUGACUUCAGGCACUUGUGUGUUAGUACUUGGCGCUCACAUGCACUUUAAGCAUGAUGUGUCCCAGCUAUGUCACUGAAUGAAUCAUUUGUGCACUUUGAACUCCGCUCUUUGCCAUCUGUUUACUUCCUUAUAUUCCCACACUUUUCCAUGUUUACAAGUGAUCUUUGCUUCCUGUAGGUAUUUUCAAAGGUGUAUCUCUUGUUAACUAUCCUUUAGGGAGCAGGAUCUAGUGGAUGCUGGAAAUAUAUAUGUACUUUUGCAUGCAGAAGUUGGCUGCUGCAGUUGUAAAUUUGCCUGUUGUGCGCUUCUGAAGUUUUAUAAGCUCUCCUGGUUUCUAUGGAUGCGGGCUUCUCUGUUUAUGCACAUGUGGUUUCAGUGAAGGUUUACUUCACUCAUGAAUACUCCUAAUUUUCAAGUGACCUGUUCUUGCUGUAUAAGUGCUCUUUACUUGGUGUAAAUUGACGGAUGAUUUCCUUUCACUUUCUACAUCACAUGAAAUGCUGCCAAAUUAUAAAUACUGAAGUGUUGUAUACUGUAUUGAGUGUGCUGUUCCUGCCUGCUACUAGCCUAGGGCUCACUUGAGCAUUUAGAAUGCAAGAAAAAAUGGUUUUCAGUAUUAUACUGGUUGUACAGGCAGGGACAAAAUGUUUUGGAAUCUAUGAGCAUAUGCCAAGCUGCAUUCUUGUGCCCUUUGACAAAUAGCACCUGGUAUUGCAUAUUGCAGGCACAUGAAAACGACAGGAUGUGCAAUGCCGUGUCUCUACACCAGGCGCUUGCUUCAUCAGAGGGUGCAAGAGUGCAGUUUUGGCAUGUGCUCGCAGAUCCCACAAAAUUUUGUACCUGCCUGUGCAUGCUUUUGUGUAUGUUGUUGUUGAACUUAAGUUCAUGUAUAGAUUAUCAUAUUCAAUGGACAAAUGCUUUUUAUGAAGCAACUGUUUAUUUCACAGAAGUGCCUUCUUUUAGGCAUGCAUUAGGUGACUUGUUCUCAUAAGGAUCUAAUUCUUUCAGAUCACUCGCACCCCAUGAAAAAUCAGUCCUGCAGACUACUUGCCCUGUACAUCACAAUGAAUCAGCUUGGGUGUCAAAAUUCUUUUAUAUUAGAAAGUUAUCCUGAGACUAUUUCGGGCCAUAAAUGUUAAACAUAGAGCUUGCUAAUACAGGGUUGUUUACAGUAAACCUAAGUUGCAGUCACCAAAAAACAUUUUCUUAAUGCAAUAAAUAUACUAUAACUUGAAAUUCAUUUAUGUUAACUGUCAUAAGUUUCUAAUUCAGCAGUUAAAUAGUACAAAGAGUGGCAUGGUAAAUGGUUUGCUGCUUGUGCUAACAAGCAGGGUGAGCUGGUUAUUGCCAUACACAAUUUCAUGGCAUUUUUAAAAUCCUGAUUUUUUUUUUGUUUAAAGCAGCUCUAUGUUGUCACAUACACAAUCAUCCUAACAAGUAUGUCAGGCCACUGCUGCUGUUUUUAUUUAGACAGCCACAAAGCAGGCAUAUAGUACAAGCAGCAUUGUUCAUUUGUAGCACUUCAAAAGUGUGUAUGAAUAAUGCAGUUUGGUCACCUUCUGCAAGCACAGUGCACACUGUAUACUCAUGUAUGACCACACGCCUUCCUUUUUGGUAAAUUUUUCCAAGUAGCACAGCAGCUUCAUCUUUCAUCAGUGAAUAUUUCCCCACUUCUACUCCAUUUUAGAUCGAGGUGCAGGGGUUUUGUAUUUCCAAAUAAUCGCUUAACCCUUUCAGAUGCCAAUGACUUCUGUUGACUGAAAACUUAUUUUCACCGCAUUUCUUGCACAUUCAGAAUCAUAAAAAGCAUACAGCUGCAGCUUAUAUAUUAAGAAUUUUCAAUUCUUUAGUGAGUUUUGUCAAGUUUACAGAACAUGGACUUCAUGCGAAUACCCACUACAGGAACAUUACAUAUGAGAACAUCAACUAUUUCAUGUCUAACAGGCUUUUAAAUUGAAAGGCACCCAUACAGGCACUUGAAAAUUAUGCCUGAUGCAACACACUGGGAAAAACAAUGAAAGCAGUACACCCACUACAUAUUACAUACUCACACCAAGCAAGUACACACAAUUGUCUACCUUCCCACUCAUUUUACUAAAACAUUUUGAACCCGUUUUUCAAACUUGCAACACAGUACCAAUUAGUACAGUUUCAAGGUGUAUGCGGCACAUUUUAAGUACCAUUACUUUGAUCAAUGCUAUUGCUGUUGACGCACUUUCUUGGCGUGCACUAUCGUGACAAAAUUAAAGCUGGUAUUGUGGUAACAUGGGCAUUAUUUAUCAAAACAAUAUGGUCAUCUUGUGGUGGUUUUUUAAUAGCUGUCACCUUUAAGCCACAGGAAUGGGACAAGUAUUCUGCAAUUUGUAUUGAUAUAAUUCUUUGAAGUAUGUUUUUCAAAUUUUGAUGUCGGUCAAAUUAGUGGUGCAGUUUAGUAUCUUGUGAAGUGUUGACUCCAGUUGUAGGCAUGUUAUGAAUACAAAGUCAUUAUAUAUAGUACUGUUAAAUGUUGCAUAGAUGAUAAAAAGUAACAUCAUGCCAUUUGCUGAGCAGAGGUUCAUUUGGUGGAGUCACCAAAAUUCAUUUGUUUUGUAAGACGGUGGUCAUCUAGUUCAUGAUUAUUAAGAGCUGUGUCCAGCCUUGAACAAUGUUUUUUUAUACCUCCUCUAAAAAGUCAUAAGCAGGUGCUCUUAUUGGCAAGAAAUACCAGCUGUCUGAGUGAAAAUUUUUCGUUUUCAAAAACAGUGCAGUAGAGGUUAGAGGUCAUUUUGUCAGUGACAAAUUAUUCUUGCUGGUGGACAUCACACAGAGAGUAAUAAAACUAUAACUAAUAUUGGCUAGUUAAAAGCUAUUGUGCGUAGGUUGCAACAGCACAUUUCAAGCUAGCCAGUCAGUACCUCUACAAAUACUACCAUUUCUGAGAUAUUCAUCCCCAAAAUACAUUUAUGUUCUAUCCAGUUUCGUCUGACAAUGCACGGGGAAGUCUUUUUGGAAACAGAUAGUAGGUAGAAUGCCCAUGCAAUUGGCCACAAGUUUGUUGACAAAUGUCUCAAGACUGGGCAUCCCGAAGGAUGAUCACUACAGUUCAUUUAUUGUCUUUUUUGUACCGUGGUGUAUUUGUGUUUUUGCAUCACAUACACUACUACUUAUAACGACAAUAAUAAUUUAUGCCAAAGAAAAAAGAAAAUGUAAUUGUUUCAUGUUAUAAUUUGUUUGUUAAGGCUCAUUAAAUAUUUAUCUACUCACUGUGAAAUAGACGUCGGGUCUUGUGAUAGCUGAUUAUAAGUAUCUGCUACUACACAUCUUGCAACAAAACCACUUGAAGAAGUCACAGCAUAUUGUUUGAGAUGUGCAGUCGACCAAUUCUUUAACAGUACCUCACAAGCGGCAACUGGCCGGCCGGUCAGCGCAUUCUAUCGGUGCGAAGCGACGAGAUCAGCAUGAAUAGCGCAUGCGCACUAAGUUCAAUCGAAGCGUAAGUUUCGUCUGCUAGGCUCUUCCUACAGGCAUGACACCGCCCCUGUCGCAAUUAACGCAGUGGAAGCUUCCCUGCUUAACGGAGACAGCAAGUGCGCUUGAACCCGGAUGCAUCUUUUUUACAACAUAUGCCACUGUAGUCCACAUGCUCUGUAAUAUAUAGAACAAAGCAUGCAAAAGGAGAAAUAGUUGAUGCACAACAUUUGAAACUAGAUAGGAAAGUUGAUAAUCCCCCCUUGUGCUACUCUUUCUUGCCCCUAUGAUGCAGUUUGAUUGCAGCUUUGCACGUUUUGUUCAUUAUUUUCCUGUGCAUGUGCACUAGAGGAGCACGUGCUAAAAAAAAAAAAGAAAGAAAGAAAAGGACGCAAGCCAGGGGCACAUGCUCCUACUACCUUCGAUAAAGCCGGGAAGCUUGCGCCGAAUUAAUCAUGCCAGGGGCUGUGUUGUGCUGUUAGGAAGAGCCUAGCAGACGAAACAUGCGCUACUCUUGCUGAACUCGUUGCUUCGUGCCGUUAGAAGGCGCUGGCCAGUUGGCCAGUCGACGCUCGCGCGGUACUGUUAAAGAAUCGGUCGACUGUACAGGGCCAUUGCAGAAUGCAGAAGAGAAGCGCAAAUGGCCAUGUCUAAGAACAUAUUAAAGGAUGUCAUUUUGUGGUUUUUGUUCUCACACAGGUAUUUGAAACAACAGAAAAAGUAGAACUUUGUGUUGGACAUUGCAUGUUAUUUCAUUGUAGACCUGUUAUGUUGGCACUGUCACAGUUAGAAUAAAAUCAGUUUAGGUUUUACGUCAUGAUGGCUUAAGGAUGUUUUUUCUGUAGCGCAAGAAUUCAGGCAAUCAAAAGAGCUAAUGCUGCAGAGAAAUUGAAGAGUGCCCACUCUGGCUUCCUUAUUUUUUGCUGUAAGAAGUACUGAAAACUACUUGUUUCAGCUGCUUUCUUGCACAAAAAUGUGAUAAAUGUAAGGAACACUGCCACUUGAAGUAACUUGAAGCCUUGGCAAACGGUGUAGUCGUGAAGAUGGAUUUCACAUAGCAGAGUUUCUUUAACGCUCUUACACACAAUGCCUCUUUCUUGUAUGUGUUUAUUUCCUCACUUCACGCAUUGUACGGAAGUUUUAUGCUGGCACCAAUGUCUGCGACUUGAUGGUGUUCCUGCUAUACAGGUCAUGCUAUUUCUGGAAGCGCAAGCUUGUUACCUUUUCUCAGCCCUUGGCCAUGGAAGUUAUUGGGCCUCUUCGAUUAACCAUUCCUGACAGUCCCGGACUGCCCAAGACGGUGCUUUCAGCCAUUUAGCGUUGCGUUGCGUAUGCAGUCUUUCGGACAGUCCGGGACUGUCACAGACAGAUAAUCGAAGAGGCCCAUUGUGUAAACACGUAUGUAGUAUUUCUACAUAAGCAAAUCACGAGAGCAUAGAAAAGUAUUAGCUGCUGGAGUGGAGCCUUUACUGAUACAAUCUUCAUAAUAAAUGUGCUUUUUAUUAUCUUUUCCUACCACGUGAACAUUUUAUAGGCAAGUUCCCUUUCCACUUGAUGUCGUAUCUGUACAGUUUCGUAAGUCACUAAGUGUGCUGUUGCCUUUACUUUUCAUGCCUUAAAACUUGUGUUCACGUGCCCUUUGUUUUAGGCCAUGCAAUGUUUUUGUUUUUUUAAUUCUUCUUUAUGUUAUGUUGUAUGUCAGUUGUGCCAGUUUAUUUUCAUCCCUCUUUGUGUUCAAAGUGUACAGUGGUCACCUGCUAGAAAUUGCUGUGUGAAAGUCAUGCCCUUAUGUACUUACCUCUGUUUUACUGUUAACAAUGUGGUAAUCUUUCAUAAAAUGUUUGUAGUUCGUUAUUCUGUACACUUGUCACAUCCUCAGUCUCUAUGGGUGGUUUUAGUGAUAUCAUCAAUUAUUUUAUUACGAUUAAUUGUUGUUUUUCAAGCACUAACAAUGUAAACGUAUUUACAUAGUUAGCUGAAUCACAUUAUUUACAGCUUAUUGCAAUAGAAAAGGCCACUCAGCUGCUGCUAGGAGCAGCAUGCUUUCCUUUACUUCCUUUUUCCUUUUCCUUUUUUCUGUGGGAGGUCUCGCUUCAUCAAUUGUCCUGAAAUUUCUGCUCAUUGCGUGACCAACUCUCCUGUAAGAAGUGGCAUUCAUGUAGUUACUAUCAUAACUUUUUUCAUUGAUUUAAACUGAGCUGUUGCAACCUGUGACCUACCGGACUUCCGUUACUUGACAUUUUGAAACGUUAUAGGUCAUAUGGAAAACAUCGGAGAUUGUAUCCCCUCCAGGGCGCUGUAUGUACAAUUGUAUGCAUCACUAUAACACCACAAAAGAUUACUAGUGAAAAUAAUGAUGUUUAAAAUGUGGUGCAUACAGAGUAAUAAACAUCUCAUUGGACCUAUGCUGCAAAAUUCUGUAAUAUAUGCGAUGUGUGCUAGAGAAGAAAGUUGGAACAUUGAUGUCUGGGUGUUGGUGGCACCAGUCUGUUGUCAUGUAGUGAGUUUUCUCUUUUCCUUUUUUUUUAAACAGUUCGGGUUCACAUCAGGCAAAUUUCUGAAGUUCCUAGACUUUUUCACAGUACCCUGCACAUCAAAUAGUCUAUUGCCUUUUCAUAGCUGCAGUAUUUUUUGUGGACUUUAAAAUUGUGUCCAAAUUUGUGGAUGCAACAGAUCUCGUAGAGAUUAUUCAAAUCUUUAAUCUGUUCUGCUGCAGUAUGUUUUUAAUCAUUCUAAAGUUUCAAAAAAUGUGUUACAACCAAAAAAAUUUCAGCUGAUGCAGUUAAUCUCACCUGAAGGGCAUAAUGUGAAGUAAAGAUAUGUUGCCUGCCGUUAAGCAUGAAAAUUUUUACACUAGUGCAGUGCUCUUUCUUUCAGAUGAGCAGUGCUUAGAAGUUGCUGAAUCUCAACAUUUCAAGGACUAGCCACUCACAAAAGUUACUUAGGAUGCAAAGCAGCCACAGCAAAGUAAA